rnacentral:rRNA from 1 species
UGGGCGAAAGCCUGAUCCAGCCAUGCCUCGUGCAUGAUAAAGGCCUUCGGGUUGUAAACUGCUUUUGUGCGGAACGAAAAGACUCUGGUAAUACCUAGGGUCAUGACGGUACCUAAGAAUACGCACCGGCUAACUACAUG